CCUCGCGUCUUGACAUCCACAGAACUUUCCAGAGAUGCUUUGGUGCCUUCGGGAACUGUGAGACAGGUGCUGCAUGGCUGUCGUCAGCUCGUGUUGUGAAAUGUUGGGUUAAGUCCCGCAACGAGCGCAACCCUUAUCCUUUGUUGCCAGCGGUCCGGCCGGGAACUCAAAGGAGACUGCCAGUGAUAAACUGGAGGAAGGUGGGGAUGACGUCAAGUCAUCAUGGCCCUUACGACCAGGGCUACACACGUGCUACAAUGGCAUAUACAAAGAGAAGCGACCUCGCGAGAGCAAGCGGACCUCAUAAAGUAUGUCGUAGUCCGGAUUGGAGUCUGCAACUCGACUCCAUGAAGUCGGAAUCGCUAGUAAUCGUAGAUCAGAAUGCUACGGUGAAUACGUUCCCGGGUCUUGUACACGCCGAGGAGCUGGGGGAACA
rnacentral:rRNA from 1 species